rnacentral:lncRNA from 1 species
AGGGGAAAUAUCUGCAUCCCUACAUCUUUUGAUUUCUAUUUUAUUGUGAUAAGAAUACUUAACAUGAGACCUACCCUCGUAACAGAUUUUUAAGUGUACAAUACCGUAUUUUUAACUAUAGACACAAUGUUGUACAGCAUAUCUCUGUUAAUUUAGCACUACUGAAACCUUAUACCUGUUAACUAGCACCUCCCCAUUUUACUAAUCUCUCUUUAUCUACUAGGCUGGAUAAGCACUAUGAAAACUUCUGAUUGAUGAUGGAAUUGUCUCUGCAAUAGUCAGAUAAUGACCUGAAUUUCUGAGAUUCCCAAAAGAUUUUUCUGGGAACAACAUCGCAGAAAUUGGCUGUAAAGUAGUACAGUCAGGAGAUCAAGACCAUCCUGGUUACCACAGUGAAACCCCGUCUCUACUGAAAAUACAAAAAAUUUACCGGGUGUGGUGGCAUGCGCCUGUAAUUCCAGUUGCUCAGGAGGCUGAGGCAGGAGAAUCACUUGAACCUGGGAGGCAGAAGUUGUAGUGAGCCAAGAUCACGCCAUUGCACUCCAGCCUGGGUGGCAGAGUGAGACAUCAUCUCAAAAACAAAAAACAAUAAAGUAGUACAGUCCAGAUGAGGAGUUGACAAACCAUACCUUGCAGGCCAAAUACUGCCCAUCACGUGUUUUGGGAUGGUCCAUGACUGUGAGGUAAGAACAGUUUUUACACUUUUUCUU